GCGAAAGUGGCGGAAUUGGUAGACGCACUGGAUUUAGGUUCCAGCGCCGCAAGGCGUGUGGGUUCGAGUCCCUCCUUUCGCACCA
rnacentral:tRNA from 1 species